CUGCAAAUGAAAAGAGAAUUCAAAGAGUGAAGAAUGCUCAGCUAGCUCAAGAAAGAGCUUCAUAUUUAGAAAUGAAUAUCAUUGGAAAUUUGAAAAGGUGCAUGAGGGAUUUCACAACUCCCUGUCACUUUCUGCUGUUAAUUGGAACUGAAAAUGGACCCUUUUUGUGUAGCACGAUGGCACAUCAUGUAUAGCACCAUGAUCACUCUUCCAGCAAUGAAUGCCUGAGAGGUCCUCUUCCAGUGUAGCUCACAAUUCUUCCUUGCUCUCUGGGCCUGCCGAUCCUUCUCUGCCUUACAUGAGCUGUGACCUGCAAUUCCUGAUUAGCAUUAUGGAUCGCUAGUCCAUUACCAGCACCCUCUCCAGUGGUUUCUCUUUGCCUAUCUAUGACCUGGUAGCUGAACUUUCCCACUGUAGUUUUUCUCAACAGAGCUAAAUUCUUGAAAAGCCCAUAAAGAAUUGAUUUUGUUUGUUCUUUGUAGUGGUUUUCUGCUUGAAAUAAAUCAAGUAUAUGCAUCUUCCACUUUCUGUAAAACUGGCCACUUGGAGAAUCUCAUCUCGAAUACUCUCGUUACAGCAGACUUCUGCAUUUCCUGGCUUUUAAUCUCCUUGGGUUGCCUUGUACUAAUAGAUUAAAAAAAAAAAAAAAAUCCAAAUACUGUGAUCACAAUUCCUUAGAGAAGAAGAAAUAAAUCAACAGCUGUUUA